rnacentral:rRNA from 1 species
AUUGAACGCUGGCGGCAUGCUUUACACAUGCAAGUCGAACGGCAGCACGAGAAGUCUACUUCUUGGUGGCGAGUGGCGAACGGGUGAGUAAUACAUCGGAACGUGCCCAGUAGUGGGGGAUAACUAGCCGAAAGGUUGGCUAAUACCGCAUGAGACCUACGGGAGAAAGCAGGGGAUCUUAGGACCUUGCGCUACUGGAGCGGCCGAUGACAGAUUAGGUAGUUGGUGGGGUAAAGGCCUACCAAGCCCGCGAUCUGUAGCUGGUCUGAGAGGAUAAUCAGCCACACUGGGACUGAGACACGGCCCAGACUCCUACGGGAGGCAGCAGUGGGGAAUUUUGGACAAUGGGGGCAACCCUGAUCCAGCCAUGCCGCGUGCAGGAAGAAGGCCUCCGGGUUGUAAACUGCUUUGUCAGGGAAGAAAGCGAGUUAUUAAUACCAACUUGUGCUGACGGUACCUGAAGAAUAAGCACCGGCUAACUACGUGCCAGCCGCCGCC